AGAAAAGUAUUUAAAAUAAUAAACCCUAAUUUGCAAUUAGAAAUUGAGACACUCCUUUUCUA
rnacentral:tRNA from 1 species